rnacentral:lncRNA from 1 species
CGCCAUUCACCCAAUCUCUGUCACGUCAGAGAUGGCUUCCUCCCAGGUGUCCUGGCAGUGCUGGCCUGGCCCAGUGGGCAGUGCUGUGAGGCCACAGGAGCGAGGAGGCAGCCAGCCACACCACAUGGCUCUCCUGGAAUGGAGCUUCCCGAGCCGGGCCAAGCUGCCUGGAGCCCAGGGCUUGAGUCUGCAGUGGGCACAAGGCAAGCCUCUUGGGGGUUCCCCGAAGCGUCCAAGAGACCGCCGGCUGUAAGGUUACCCGGCCGAGGUUAGAAGAGACGUUCCAGGGCUCCACCCCUCGCCGGAGGCCGAAUCGCCGGGAGGGCCCAGGAAUCUGUUUUGGUUGGGAUUUCUCUGGAAUUAGGAAGAGAUUUUUCCGCACUACGUUUGAAGACAGCUGUGCUGCCUCCUUUGAGGAACCUUACUCCAGAGACCUGUUUGCUUUGUUCAACCUCCGAAUCCAACAGACCCACUUGAUUGGGCCCAAUGAUGAGGGAAUCGAAUCAAGUCACAUGCUUGUCAAUGAAUGUGGUUCCUUUCGGUAAUGGCCAAACAACCCCUUUCAGGGUUUGGGAAGGAAAAUCGCAGACAGGAUUCUAGCCGUAGCCCACCCCAACCACCACUGCGCUAAAGAAAAGAAAAAAGAAAACAAUGCUCACCAAGUGCUGGAUAUCAGAGAAAAAGAAAAAAGGAAUAGAAAAAAACCUUAUCUUACACUUGCUGAUACCCUCUUCCCCUUUGUUGAUCCUUUUCCUUACUUUCUGUAUGAAUUAAAUUUUUUACCUGCUCUGUAUCCAGCCUACUUGGACUGGCCUUCCUGAUUGUUUGCUGCAGCUACAGUUUCCCAAGCUUUGUGGGGUUAUGUUUGCCUCUGGUGGUGGUCAUGACUUCCUCCAACAGCAUUAGGUUUAAACACAGUAACAGAAAAAGUGAUUUAGCAAACACCCUCAAAAAGGCAGGACUGAUCCCCAAACCUACUUUCAUUUUCUUCGGGUCUGGGUUGUGAGUAAUUUCUUGACAACUAUGAAAAAGAAGACAAUGAGAAAUGAAUUGUUUCUCCAAUGCAAUUUUGAACAGAUGUACAAUUCCCUAGUCUCUGGAAUGUUCUAGGAAUCCCUUACAUCACCUUAAAGGGGCAGGGAAUGGGUGGAGUUUCGGAGGGCUUCGUGGACACCCAGCAUAGACAGGGCCUAGCUAGUUCCAGGACUGCUGCACUGAUAACCCGGGUCACCUUUGCUGUUUUAGGGCCUCUAAAUUUGGCAGUGUGAACAGACUCACUUCCUUUCAGCAAUUGAUCUGAGUAGCAGAAUCCUUUUCUGAUGGUAGGCCCCUGGGAUGAGGGCUGUACUAAUGGGCCACUUGCCUCACCACUGACUGGCUUUUAAACAAUCGGUUGUAUUCUCUGCUCAGCAGGAAGCAGCAGACCCAUCAAGGCCCUGGGCGCUCUCUUUGUUCUGACUUUAAGGCAUUUUUUUUUGCUACAAUAGGAAACACUGUGUACUCCGCCAGGCGGCAAGGAUGUGGGCUCCUCUGCAAAGGGGCUGGUGCUCUUCCCCAAGAAGAGGGGCUUUGUCACAGGCUGGGGUGCUGAACACUGUUACUGGGCAACUGCCUGGCCAGUGUAGAGGCAGCUGUGGUACCUUGGCCCCUUUUUGUGCCCAUAGAGGGAGGCAGGGGAAGGAUGGAAUUUCAUCUCAGGGUAGCAGGUCCUGGUGACACAGUAAAUUAUACAUCAGGAUGAUGUUAACCCCCACCUUCGUUUUCUCUGGGCUUCCGAGGCAACUUCAACCUGCCACUAGAUUCUGUGCAAGGUGAUCAUGUCCAGGUAACCAACCCUCCCUACACCAGGAAGCUCCAUCUUGGUGAGUAGGAAGUUUUUUCUAACUGGGGAUCAAACCUGGACUCCAUAUUUUGGGUAGAUUUGGUCCCUCGAGGCAAGAGGUAUUGGUUUUGUAGAAAUUGAGUAUAUUGAGAGGGGCCCUGGACAUGGUCCAUCCAGCCAAAGGCAUGAAUGGACCCAUGGGACUUGAAAGCUGCUUCUAGAUUCACCCUGCCCCUCAGUCACUGCAGUCCCCUCCCGGGCCACCUAGCCUGUGUUUUCAUCAACAGCACACCUGGUGCAGAAGACAAAGGAGGGUGUUUUCUUCAGGAAACAUUAUAAUAAUUACAUAGAGACAAGAUCCAGGCCAGGAGGAAGCCCAGGAUGCAGGUCUGAGGGAGCAGAACCCAAAUAAUGGGAUACACUUUGUAGGUAUGAAAUUAAAAUGGCAGGAAGGCAAGUCCAGUUAGCUUCGCCUCCAAGGGCAGCCUGUGUCCCCUCAGACUAACAGAUGAGCAUGUGGGGUCAGGUGCAGCUGUUUAGGUCCUGUGUUCUUUGGAGAUGUUCCCAUCAUGGCGCCUGAAGUGAGGGAAGGCCAGCUUCCUGUUGGGCAUGGGCAUAGAGCAGCAGCAGUACUUCCUUCAGCCCUACCUUUCUCCACACUCAUCUCAGGCUCCCCACAUGAGUCCCCUAAUUGCUCUGUGCCACUUCAACAGCUACCCACCUCGCACUCAACCAAAUCUCUUUGGCCUCCCGAGUCAUACCUCAGCACUUGGUGUUGGGGCACUUGCCUAUACCUCUGGCUCACUUUCUGCCAGGCCCAGCCACACAACUCCUUUUCUGCCAACAUACGAAUCUUUCCAUGUCUCUACAGCACUGCAUUUCCUCUGCAUGGAAUGCCUUUUCCUCCCUACUCACCCUUGUCCAACAAGUCUCCGAGAUUCAGUCUAAACAUGUCCUCCGCGGAUCAGCUGAGAGGAGUUUUGCCACCAGGCUCUCAAUGAAGACUCACAAGGGACAAAACCUGAUGGAUUAAAAGCAAGGCCUCCCUGGCACUAUCUGGAGUCCCUGAAGAGCCCAGCUGCAGUGUCCAUCCUGGAGAAAGGAUAGGAGGAGGCAGGACUGGUGGUUCUUCAUUUCAUCUAACUUCUGGGUGUUCCUCCUCAUCUGCCUUGGUCUGCUAUCAAGACACAAGCACAGUUUGGGGUAUCCUCUUUUCUGGCUCUUGGGUCCUUAUAGGCAAGUUGCGUCUUAAUCAUCUCUGCAUUUCCAGGAUCUAUUUUAGAACUGGGCAUAUGUAGGUGUGAAGAAUAAAUGAGUAUAACUUGAAUUUAGGAGUAUUCCUUCCUUAGAAUACUGUUCUUUCUAUAAAGUUGUACUUUUACUUUCUCCAAAACAUAAUUCAAGAAUUGCUUCCUGCAUCUUUUUUUGUUUGUUUGUUUUGUUUUUUGAGAGGAUCUUGCUAGUUCAUGCUGGCCUUCAACUCACUAUGUAGCCCAGGCUGGCCUCAAACUCCUGGCAAUCCUCCUGCUUCAGCCUCCCAAGUGCUGAGAUUACAAGUGUGCACCACCAUGCCUGGGCUAAGCAUCUGUUAUAUACUAGGCAAUUUUUAGGAACUGGAGAACUUUGGGAUACAAAAGGGAUAAGAGUUCCAUGCCCAAGUUGCUAAUGAGUGCCCCCAACCCAUGCUCAACCUCAGCAGUGAUUUGGGAUAUUUGAAAUCACCCAGUGUUCCUGGGAUCCACAGUCCCUGGGGCAUGGUCAGCAGUCAGCUAUGACUCACUGUGUGCCUAGCAUCAGGAAAGACAGGCAUAGAAGGCCCGAGUCACUUGAAGCCCCCACCAGGGAAGAUGCUGAAAUUUCACAGCCUCUAGGAAUUCACUUGACCUGAAUUCUCUUGCCCAGGAGCUACUUCUAGUAAUUUCCAGAUUUAUAAAUAUGUGAGUGUCAUCUCCUAACUUGGUCCUAAGGUCCUCAAAAAAAAGGGCAUCAUGGCAUAACUUUCCCUAUCCCAUCUCAGCCCCUAGUGCAGGACUGUACAUGCCAAAAUGAGGAAAUGAUGAUUGCCACUGCUAACAGGCAUUUGUCAUGGGUCUCUUAAUGAGACAGCCAAGAAGCCCAACGUGCAUAACUCCUCCAGUUUUGGUAGGUAAGGAGUGGGAAAGAGGGUUCUCUCCCGACUCAGUGCUUCUCUUUUGCUAAAUGUUACCUUUAGAGAGUGUGCGACUUCCAUAGGAAGAUACUGAGGUGUAGAUCCAGUUGGUUUUAUUUUGUUUCCUAUGGGUACCUCCCUCUUAACUGGCUAUUUGUAUUCAGCUCUUGCUUGGUGAUUAAGGUGGAUGAAAUCUUUUUCAGAGUUUCUCAAAUUAAAUGACCUGGUGGUGAGAGAAGCUCACUUAACCCUUGCUGCUUCUUUCUACUCUGCUUUCCCAGCUUCUUCCUGGGGUAACUUACUCCUUCUCCGAAAAGUUUUACUCGAAGUUUCCUUAGAGUCAAUGCUCUAGGGCAGUGAUGGCGAACCUCUGGCACGCAAGCUGCAGUGGGCUGCGUGUAUCAUUGAAAGGUCUAAAAGGUUUGCUAUCACUGCUCUAGGGCCUUGGUUUUCAACCACUGGGUUUUACUGUUUGUCUUCCCCUGUUUGCUUUGCAGUCCUAGUGGCUGAUGUCACUUGCAUUAGCUCGCUGAUGCUGGGGCCAUCUGCACCCUACAUCAACCCUGGGUGCUUUGAAGUUCAGUGUGCAAUAAAAAGUUCAUUAAAAAGAUGUGGGGGAAAAAAGGAAAAUGAAGCUACAGAAAUAU